UGCCAGCCGCCGCGGUAACACGUACCGUACGAACGUUAUUCGGAAUCACUGGGCUUAAAGAGUCCGUAGGCGGCUUCAAAGGUCAGGUGUGAAAUCCCACGGCUCAACCGUGGAACUGCGCUUGAAACCAUGAAGCUAGAGGGAGAUAGAGGUGAGCGGAACUGAUGGUGGAGCGGUGAAAUGCGUUGAUAUCAGGAGGAACACCGGCGGCGAAGGCGACACUCUGGCCUGCUUCUGACGCUGAGGCGCGAAGGCGUGGGUAGCGAACGGGAUUAGAUA
rnacentral:rRNA from 1 species